UAUAAAACAAGAUCAAUAAGUUUGAUUUAAAAUUUUAAUGUCAUAUCAUCAUAUUUUGUAUGAUUUUUAUUUUCAGUCGUUGAUUUUGAGCCAUUUCGAUCACUAGGCAAAUGAUAUCGAAAAAUCGCAAAAUUUAUUUUCUAGAUACUUCAAAUACUCUAGAUCAAGUCUAAUGGAGCCGAUCGUCGAUUCGAAAGUCCGAACAUCGAAAACAACUUGGAAGCACGGAGCGCUCCGUGGUACCAGAAGCAUACCAGAU
rnacentral:lncRNA from 1 species